rnacentral:rRNA from 1 species
AUUGAACGCUGGCGGCAGGCCUAACACAUGCAAGUCGAGCGAGCUUCGGACGGGUGAGUAAUGUCUGGGCAACUGCCUGAUGGAGGUGGAUAACUACUGGAAACGGUAGCUACUACCGCAUACCAUCAGAUGUGCCCAGGUGGGGUUAGCUAGUCGGUGGGGUAACGGCUCACCUAGGCGACGAUCCCUAGCUGGUCUGAGAGGAUGACCAGCCACACUGGAACGGAGACAGGGUCCAUAUUCCUACGGGGGGCAGCAGUGGGGAAUAUUGCGGAAUGGGCGAAAGCCUGAUGCAGCCCUGCCGCGUGGGUCAAGAAGGCCUUCGGGUUUUAAAGCACGUUCAGCAGGGAGGCGUUACCCGCAGAAGAAGCACCGGCUAACUACGUGCCAGCAGCCGCGGUAAUAC